GAUUUGAGAGGGGCUGCUCCUAGUACGAGAGGACCGGAGUGGACGAACCUCUGGUGUUCCGGUUGUCACGCCAGUGGCAUUGCCGGGUAGCUAUGUUCGGAAGCGAUAACCGCUGAAAGCAUCUAAGCGGGAAGCGCGCCUCAAGAUGAGAUCUCCCGGGGCACAAGCCCCCUGAAGGAACCAUGUAGACUACGUGGUUGAUAGGUCAGGUGUGUAAGUACAGCAAUGUAUUGAGCUAACUGAUACUAAUGAUCCGUGCGGCUUGACCAU
rnacentral:rRNA from 1 species